rnacentral:tRNA from 1 species
AUUUAUGGUUGUUUUUUGAAUAAAAUUAAUGUUAUAAUGAUUUAGGUUUUCGGGCUAUAGCUCAGCUGGUUAGAGCGCACCCCUGAUAAGGGUGAGGUCGAUGGUUCAAGUCCAUUUAGCCCGA